UAACUCAUUGAGAGAGGCAGAGCCACCGCUGCUAGAAUUACAGAGGGUUUUUUUUCAAGCUGUCUUUCACUUAUAAAUGAAGGGAACAGCUGUGUGUUUUCACAAAGCAUUCUGAACAUCGAAAACCACAUCUUGCUCUCACACAAAUACGGGCAAGUGAAACUGAAGCUGAGCGCCCAUCUCAUGGGCCACAAUUUCUCUUCUGAUCUCCGAGGCAGUGUUUCUCAUUUAAGGGCCUGCUUUGUCAGCUGUGCCAUCCGAAACUGCUGCAAAUCGAGAGAAAGCCCUACCCCAGGCAACACGAGGCAUGGCACUGCCUUGGUCUGCGCAAGGUUAGCCACUCCAGCAGCAUACUGGCUGUAGGAACUGGGCACGGGGCUCCCUCCCAGCUAACCACUGGGAAGAGAGCAUUUACUCCCUUUCCAUGCAGGGAACCCUUCUGUUAUUUAUUUAUUUAUUUCUUCAGGCCUGUUAGCCUCCAUUAGAAAAUCCAAGGGCUUUGUAAUGAUGUUGACAGAUACUGCAGCACAGUUUAAGAUCCUUAGCAUGGCAAAAAAAGCAAAGCCUCCCUUCCCCCUUAAUGAAACCAGCUGCCCAGCAGCACUCAAGAGUGCUUCAUUACAUUAGCCCACACCCAGGCACCAGGUCCAGGCCAUGAUGCAGUACCUUCAGAUGAAUCAUUACGCUUAGGUUCAAUAACUGCUAUGGGAAACCCCUUAUCAGGUUGCCCAGGAGCAGGCGCGUAGGCUGACGCAGCAGUGCGAAGGGGAGGUACUAGCUCUCUAGGGGAUGAAUCGGGCUGAGGGACUGCCCUGCAGCAAGGUGGCAGCUGAAAACCAUCUGCUGAAGGUUGGAGCAGGGCCGUGACAGCAGGCUAGCUGAGGCUGCAGGCCACAGCUGUUCGCCGCUCUUCGGAGGAGCAAAGCAAAGCACAUGACCUGUGGCAGAGGAGCCCAUUGCCAGAAGUGGAGUAAAGGCUCGGUGACUAAGCUUACUGGAAAACAGAGUUUCUGCUAUGUGGAAAGAAGUGAAUUGGAGGAAAGAAACUUUGAAUGUGCAGCGGGGACAUUUUGCAGCCGAACGCCUUGUCAAGACUAUUUCCUCUUGCAAAGUGAGCCUGGCAGGAGCCUUCCAGACAGGUAGCGGGGCUCCAUCUGUUCUGUUCUCCUAGCAGGAAGCUGAUUUUUCUUAGGGCAAAACUUUAAAUUUCUCUGUGAAAAGGGAUAUUUUUUCAUCAGAAAAAUUAUUAUAAUGGGAAACUCCUAGCCUAAUCUGCUCUGGAAAAAAAGCUGCUUACAAAUAUUUGAUACGAAGAAGCCAUAGUUUUGAUCUGGAGAUGAUGGACUCAUCAAAGGCAAGCUUUCAGUUACCUAUGACGGGAUAAGCCAUCCUAUGAAUACUGAUCCCCCUCAUUUUUAGAAGGGAUCAUUCAGAGUUCUCAUUUUCAUUGCCAAUAAUUCUAUUUUGGGCAGAUAAUUCUAUUAUCUGUCAUCAAUAAUUCUAUUAUCAGAUGGCAUUCAUUCAUUGUGUAAUAAUGAAUAAUUACAUCAAUUAUUCUCUCAAUUUGAGUCAUUGUUUGCAGUCUGAAGACAACACCACAACAGGUGUGGGCUGUCUGCAGAAUUCAGGAAAGGAGAUUGCACCUUAGAUUAGAUCACCAUGACAAGUGUCCCACCCACCACUGGAGCCUCUAGAGACAUCCUUGAGGAGCUAUUCUGACACAGACAAGCAUCUCCUUCCCCUUAAAAGUGUGAAACCUAAUAUGGCAUUGUUUUGACUGAUCUAAACACUAGAGGCAGUGAUUACAGGUAGCAGCUCUUCCUGAAGAGAUAAGUUUUUGAGAAGGAAGUUGUGAUGACAUCGCAACAAACCUGUUACCAGAAAAUGAAAUAAUGCAAAAAACAGAUAAUAUAAUUAUCAUCCAACUACCAGAAUGCACUACAAAAAAAGAGAUCACCACUAAUUGUUAAAGCAAGAAUUAACACAGGUGAAAAUAAUCCAUUUCAUAGCAGUACAUUUCCUUUGAGAAGAAACUAGAGUGCAAGCUUAAGAACCUGCAGGUCUGUCAGCCAGAGAAAAGAAACAAAGUGAAGCUGCAGGAUGUGGCACAUUGCUCUAGCUUAACACCACAGCAACAUAGCUUUCACAGAAACAAAGGUAGCUUAAGAUUUCCAGUGAUUUACUGUGAAGCCUUGUUAUUUUUAUCUCUGCACAAACAGGAGACUGACAUAAGGUUAUGUUUGUGUUUGCAAGAUGAAAAGUGUUUGAAGGUACCACCUGAUAAAGGCCCUCCUUCUAUAAACUCUCUAUAAAUAAUGUUUUAUAAGUAAUAAGUAAUGUUUUAGAAUCGUAGAAUGGCUUUGUUUUGAAAGGGACCUUAAUGAUCAUCUAACUCCAGCCCCAUUAACAUUUGCAUAUGUUUAUGCCCUAGAUGACCCUUGAUAAAACUCCUUGCUCUGACCACGGUGGGCAAUUUCCUUCACUAAUUACCCAUUUUCUUCCAUAGUGCAAUAGAGUUUAUCAUGGGUCACUGGACAUAUAGAUACAUCAGUUAAUCUCUUUGUGAUAUAUCUAACAUAUGGAAAUGUAUAAAUGUUUUAUAAUAGUAAGACUCAUAUCAGAAUCUGUGUUUUGUCUUAUAACCCAAGCCUGAAAUACUCACAGAAUAUCCUGAGUUAGAAGGGACACACAAAGAUCAAGUCCAACUCCUGGGUCCCCAAAGGACCACCCAAAAAUCAGACCAUGUGUCUGAGAGCAUCAUCCAAAUGCAGGCUCAGAGCCGUGACCACUUCCCUGGGAAAACCCUUUGAAAAUUUCAAGCAAAGUUAAAUUCCACAUCGAACUGCAGUGACAUUUUUUAAAGAAGUCAUCUCUUACAAUCCUGUUUACUACCUCCUCAAAGAAAACAACCAGAACUUCUGACUGUGGACAAAUCUGCUUAUUCCAAACUUUCUAAGAAAGCCUUAUUUCUGCAAAUGAUAUAAGAAUAACAGCAGAAAGCUGCUACAGUGGGAGAAACACCUUACAAAGAGACAGGGCUGUGCCUGGGAACACAGCAACUGGGGGAAAUGGAGAAAGAGAGCCCACAAAACGAAGCCUAGGCGGGUCUGAGCAGUUUGCAGGGUUGCUGACUUGUGUGCAUGGCUCUGUGCUGCUCCUCAAGUGCUUCACCAGUCUGGGUGAAUCAAACUGCCAGCACAAGCAACAUCAUCAUGCUGACAUUGUCACAGGCCAACGGGUAUGGGAUCCUCUCUGGGAAUCUCCCCAUUUGAGAAAAUUUGCAUCACGUGUAACUGUGGCAAUGGAGGAGAGGUGCAGCUUGGUCUUGGCAAAAUACAGAAAAAAAAAAGAAAAAAAAAAAAAAAAGGAUGGGGGCGGGGAUUGGGAAUGUUCCUGUCCAUUAUGCUUUCAGGAAAACAAAACUGCCAGCUCACAGAAACAGCAGGAAGAGGAGGGACAAGCCCUUCCUCAAAGUUUGGUAUGGUUUUCUCUGGCUUUUCUGUGGGCUUCCCUCUGAUGAGGGGAAGCUUUGACUAGGUCAGGAGGGCUUUCUCCUGACACCGUAUAGCUUCAUAUUGUGAUGCCUGCACUGACUGGGAUGAGCGGCUUCAUUGCACAGAUGGUCCUACACACUGGCCAAGCUUUCCAGAAAAAUUUGGAGAAUGGGAUGAACAAAGGAGAGAAGAAUCCAGCACUAUUAAAUGAGUUACAAAUGCUAUUUCUCCAGCAAGGGGCACGCACGCUACUAUCAGCUACAUGUGCUAGUAUUUCACAGUCACUUCAUUGUACAGUGUUUUUUUCCUGAAGGUACAGGCAAAGUCACAUUGCUCUGAGCUGGCAGGGCGUAGACAACAAAAUGUCCAUGAAGCUCUGACUCAUUUUGUAAGUCCAAGAGCAGAGUUUCUGCUGCCUUCCUGUGCCACUCGUGCUUCUUGUCAUCUGAGGUUUCUGCAAGCAUCAUGCAACCAUUUCACCACUGACAAAUUUAGCAGUUGUGAUGUGUUUUUUUUUUUUUUUUCUUUGUGCAUUUCUAAAGCCUGCUUCUAAGUAACCUUUUGAAAAGUAAAGCCAAAGUGUACUUCAAUUGUGGCAAUGCAGGCAAAUGGGAAAACAGAAAAAUCUUUCUGAGCCCUGAGCCAGUCUCGUAUAGGGUGAACAGCUUUUGGGCCUGACUUGCUCCUUUUCCUGAUUACCCAGAUCUCUCACUGAAAAUCAGUGCAAGAGCUGAGAUGUCCCUGUAUACAAAUGGUGAUGUCUGCAACAGAGACCUGAGGACAGUUGUCACUUUUCAUCCCUUCAGUCUUACACCAAAGAACUUCUCGUGAAGGCCCAUAAAUCCCUGAAGGAAUUCAGGGAUGGGCUGGCGUGCUGCCAGCUUGCAUUAACGGAUACCGCUGCUGCCUGGCCAGCAGGCUGUAAUUUGAUGUCUGUGUGCAGAACCUGGAUGGGUAUAUUUAAUAUAUCGUCUGGUUCCCCAAGGUGAUGUACUACCAGUGACAUUUUGUAAAUCAAUGCAUGGCCAUAAGCAAAGCCAUUCUCUGUGCUUGGAGAAUUCCUGCAGCACUUUAAAAAGGCACAGUAAUAAAUAAAAUGUCAUAAUGUUAAUCUCCUAAUACAGUUUAAGUAUAUUUACUAAUUACAAGUACAGAGGAGAGCAAAACUAGAAACGGGGUAAGCUUCCUUUCCCCUAUGGGAAGCUAACAAAAAAAAGAGGAUGACCAGCUGAGUGCAAGAAACAAUUAUCUAAUGCAUUAUUCACAGAUGGAGAAAAAGGAUGUUAUGGCACAUCUCUGGAAUGCUGCUGUGGUUUAAAAAAAAAAAAAAAAAAAAAGGACAUAUCCU